rnacentral:rRNA from 2 species
GGCAAUGGCGGCUGCCUAAUACAUGCAGUCGAACGAACAAACUGUUGAUUAAAGCUUGCUUUAUGAUUCAGAUCUUGGUGAGUGGCGGACGGGUGAGUAACACGUGGGUAACCUGCCCAAAAGUGGGGGAUAACAUUUGGAAACAAGUGCUAAUACCGCAUAACAACUACUUUCACAUGAUCGUAGCUUGAAAGAUGGCUCUGCUAUCACUUUUGGAUGGACCCGCGGCGUAUUAGCUAGUUGGUGAGGUAAUAGCUCACCAAGGCAAUGAUACGUAGCCGACCUGAGAGGGUAAUCGGCCACAUUGGGACUGAGACACGGCCCAAACUCCUACGGGAGGCAGCAGUAGGGAAUCUUCCACAAUGGGCGAAAGCCUGAUGGAGCAAUGCCGCGUGAGUGAAGAAGGUUUUCGGAUCGUAAAACUCUGUUGUUGAAGAAGAACAUGCGUGAGAGUAACUGUUCACGUACUGACGGUAUUCAACCAGAAAGCCACGGCUAACUACGUGCCAGCAGCCGCGGUAAUACGUAGGUGGCAAGCGUUGUCCGGAUUUAUUGGGCGUAAAGAGAAUGUAGGCGGUCUAUUAAGUUUGAAGUGAAAGCCCUCGGCUCAACCGAGGAAGUGCUUCGAAAACUGGUAGACUUGAGUGCAGAAGAGGAAAGUGGAACUCCAUGUGUAGCGGUGGAAUGCGUAGAUAUAUGGAAGAACACCAGUGGCGAAGGCGGCUUUCUGGUCUGUAACUGACGCUGAGAUUCGAAAGCAUGGGUAGCAAACAGGAUUAGAUACCCUGGUAGUCCAUGCCGUAAACGAUGAGUGCUAAGUGUUGGAGGGUUUCCGCCCUUCAGUGCUGCAGCUAACGCAUUAAGCACUCCGCCUGGGGAGUACGACCGCAAGGUUGAAACUCAAAGGAAUUGACGGGGGCCCGCACAAGCGGUGGAGCAUGUGGUUUAAUUCCAAACAACCCCAAAAACCUUACCAGGUCUUUACAUACCAUGAAAAGCUUAAAAAUAAUUCUUUCCCCUUCGGGACUUGGAAACAAGGUGGGGCAUGGUUUUU